GCAAAAAGAUAACGAGAGAUAAAAACAGAGAGGCGAAGGUAUUAUAUGACCAAGAUAAAAGAUAACAACAGGGCUAUCUCAUGGCAACAACGUGUGCGUUCAGUAUUAACUAAUACUCUUUCGCUAUAGCAUCCAUACACAAAUCACUAAAUUAAAAGUCUUUGGAGCAGUGAGAGGAAUUUGUUUUUAGCAGUGCGUGGAUUUUUGUUUAGCAGUGCGUGGAAUUGUUCGAGCAGCGCAUGGAAUUUUUCGAACAGUGCGUGGAAUUUUUGAAGCAGUGCGUGGAUUUUUUCGAACAGUCCGUGGAAUCGAUCUGGCGUCGUGGGUCACCCCAGGGCAGCGUUUUUCAACCACUGUGCCGCGGCACACCAAGGUUGCUGACAGUACUCCAUCUAACUCUCUAGUCUACUCUCGAACCGAAGCACUGGACUAGAGCAACCUAGUUUACAGAGCAAGAUAAGGACCUCCAGGUGAAAGCACUCGCGGAUACGACAGAGUCCAGUUGGAAGGCAGGUCAUCAGUACUUCUGGAAGGCUAUGGUGCUGUGCCGGAGGUAUCGACAAAGAACACCCAGACUCCAGAGGUAGAUUUGUGCCGAAUGAGUCACUGGGCCUAUCUCCAUUGGCGAUAGUGUAUAGUCACACAGCACGAGGACCAUUGGAGGUGAGCAAGGACCAGUGGUCAGACAGAGCAACAUGGAUGCCCUGGACUGGUUACCUACACAGAGGCAGGUUCUUUGCUCCAUGAGAACUAGCCAAAUAAAACCGGUUACAUUCUCAGGUAACUGACAAGAAGAGAUACGACGACAAAGCGACACCCAGGGAAUUUCAGGUAACCAGUUCUUUCCUAAUUCCUUGUCUAAUUUCUGCUUCUUGUUGGUCAUUUCUGGUUUUGACUUCCAAAUGCACUUCCUUGAUCGUCUCUUUCUCUUUUCCAACUUACGCACACGUCUCUUUAAUUUCCUCUUUGUACUUUUCUAGUUCAUUAUUAACUUCCUCUAUGUAAGUUGUCAAAGAAGUUUCUCUUUGCAUAUCCUCGCCUAACUCCAUGUUGGUCUUUGGCGUUCCUUGGAGUUGUUCACCAUAUCAGUCUACUUUCUUGUUAAUUUCUUCAAAUACAUCACUUUUUCCAUACCUCAUUUUCUUUCACUACUUCCUUGAUU